AAAUCAAGCGCGAAAAGGGCGUUUGGUGAAUGCCUUGGCAGUAAGAGGCGAUGAAGGACGUGAUACUCUGCGAUAAGUCAUGGGGAGCUGAGAAUAAGCUUUGAUCCAUGAAUUUCCGAAUGGGGCAACCCACCUGAUACUGUGUUAUUACUGACCGCAAGGUCAGCUAAUAAUGCGGUAAACCAGGUACUUAUAGACUGAAUACAUAGGUUUAUAAGAGCAAACCCGGAGAACUGAAACAUCUAAGUACCCGGAGGAAAGGACAUCAAUUGAUACUCCCCUAGUAGCGGCGAGCGAACGGGGACCAGCCGAGCCUUGAAUGUGAAUAGAACGUGUUGGGAAGCACGGCCAUAGAGGGUGAUAGCCCCGUAUAUGAAGCACGAUAGGACGUAUUAAGUAGGGCGGGACACGUGAAAUCCUGUCUGAAGAUCGGAGGACCACCUUCGAAGGCUAAGUACUCCUUACUGACCGAUAGUGAACCAGUACCGUGAGGGAAAGGUGAAAAGCACCCCGACGAGGGGAGUGAAACAGUACCUGAAACCGAACGCCUACAAUCAGUCGGAGC
rnacentral:rRNA from 1 species